CAGCAUCAUUUCCAUAAUCGUUUUUGGAUGCACAACAGCUGAAGAUUGUGCCUGGAUUCCCCUUUGCAAGCAUUCUGGAGUCACAACAUCGGCAUAGAAGGUGGCCAGCCUUCGGCUUUUGCAGUCGUUUGUGGAGUCUUUAUGGAAGAGCAGCGUGGUCAAGAGACCACGGCUGCGUAACCCCGUCUGCAGUAUGUGAGGCCGGAGUGCUGACCCUGGACCUGCCCAGUCAUGCCUUCUCGGUCAGCUGUUCAUCUCAUCUGCUACCACGGGAAAAGAAAUGCCCUGAAGACUGCUGGCCGUGUGUUCAGUGAUUCUCACAGAGCACAGAAAAUGAAACAUCAGAGAAACUGCCCUUAGGCGGGGCUGGCAAAUAUCUCCCCUACUGGGCGCAGGGCAGACUUCACCUCAAGGUCUUCCUCCACACACAUUCCACAGCCCAGCCAGUCCUCCAGGGCGGAACUCAAGAUAAAUCUAUUCACCAUCUCUGUUCUCUUGGGAGUGGGGGAGGA
rnacentral:lncRNA from 1 species